rnacentral:rRNA from 1 species
AGUGAACGCUGGCGGUAGGCCUAACACAUGCAAGUCGAACGGCAGCACAGGAAAGCUUGCUCUCUGGGUGGCGAGUGGCGGACGGGUGAGGAAUACAUCGGAAUCUACUCUGUCGUGGGGGAUAACGUAGGGAAACUUACGCUAAUACCGCAUACGACCUACGGGUGAAAGCAGGGGAUCUUCGGACCUUGCGCGAUUGAAUGAGCCGAGGUCGGAUUAGCUAAUUGGCGGGGUAAAGGCCCACCAAGGCGACGAUCCGUAGCUGGUCUGAGAGGAUGAUCAGCCACACUGGAACUGAGACACGGUCCAGACUCCUACGGGAGGCAGCAGUGGGGAAUAUUGGACAAUGGGCGCAAGCCUGAUCCAGCCAUACCGCGUGGGUGAAGAAGGCCUUCGGGUUGUAAAGCCCUUUUGUUGGGAAAGAAAUCCAGCUGGCUAAUACCCGGUUGGGAUGACGGUACCCAAAGAAUAAGCACCGGCUAACUUCGUGCCAGCAGCCGCGGUAA